AAGAGUGGGGGAUAACGUAGCGAAAGUUACGCUAAUACCGCAUACGAUCUAAGGAUGAAAGCAGGGGAUCUUCGGACCUUGUGCUCCUGGAGCGGCCGAUAUCUGAUUAGCUAGUUGGUGAGGUAAAGGCUCACCAAGGCCACGAUCAGUAGCUGGUCUGAGAGGACGACCAGCCACACUGGAACUGAGACACGGUCCAGACUCCUACGGGAGGCAGCAGUGGGGAAUUUUGGACAAUGGGCGAAAGCCUGAUCCAGCAAUGCCGCGUGAGUGAAGAAGGCCUUCGGGUUGUAAAGCUCUUUUGUCAGGGAAGAAACGGUGAGGGCUAAUAUCCCUCGCUAAUGACGGUACCUGAAGAAUAAGCACCGGCUAACUACGUGCCAGCAGCCGCGGUAAUACGUAGGGUGCAAGCGUUAAUCGGAAUUACUGGGCGUAAAGCGUGCGCAGGCGGUUUUGUAAGUCUGACGUGAAAUCCCCGGGCUCAACCUGGGAAUUGCGUUGGAGACUGCAAGGCUAGAAUCUGGCAGAGGGGGGUAGAAUUCCACGUGUAGCAGUGAAAUGCGUAGAGAUGUGGAGGAACACCGAUGGCGAAGGCAGCCCCCUGGGUCAAGAUUGACGCUCAUGCACGAAAGCGUGGGGGAGCAAACAGGAUUAGAUACCCUGGGUAGUCCACGCCCCUAAACGAUGUCUACUAGGUUGUCGGGGUUU
rnacentral:rRNA from 1 species